rnacentral:rRNA from 1 species
AGUAAGGUUAUAUGGUGGAUGGCUUGGCUCAAACACCGACGAAGGAGGUGGCAAGCUGCCAUAAGCCUGGGGUAGCCGCAUGCAGGUUUUGAACCCAGGAUCUCCGAAUAACCGACUGCUAACACAGAAUAUAGACGGCUUUGCUAUUGAAGCGGUCUAUUGGCAGAGUUGGCCGUCGGUGCGGACAGGACUUCCUGCCCAUUUGGGCGUUCCUGCCUUUUAGGUAGGAACGGGGACCCCGGGAAUUGAAACAUCUUAGUACCGGGAGGAAAAGAGACCAACAGGCAUUCCCUGAGUAGGGGCGACCGAAAAGGGAGAAGAACAAACCGAACCUCUCCAGAAAUGGAAGAGGAAUGUGGGGUUUGGACUUGGGCUUAGCCUAACUUUCUGACCUGAAGUCAGCUGGAACGCUGUGCCAUAGAGGGUGAUAGCCCCGUAAGGGAAAGAAAGAAGGUUAAUACCAAGUUUCCAGAGUACUGCUCCUUGAAGAUGGAGUGGAAAGGUGGGAGACAACAACUCCCAAUUCUAAAUAUUGUUUGAGACCGAUAGCGCACUAGUACCGUGAGGGAAAGCUGAAAAGAACCCUUAGCAGGGGGUGAAAAGAGCCUGAAACCAUAUAACCACAGGUGGAUAUGGCUUGUUUACCCUUUCGAAGGACAAAGAAAGAUUCACGCUUCUUUAGAAGCGUGUUUUCGUCCAGUCUGCAAAGAUUAUACGAAGAAAGGGGUUUCAAGUCAUAUCGUCAGUUUUGAAACACUUGGCAAGGAGUUUAUCUCUGUGGCGAGGUUAAGGUUUCCGGAGCCAGAGCGAAAGCGAAACUCCCGCAGACCCUUUAAACGGAGCUUGCUUUGCAUAUUUCUUUGAGAAAGCAACUUCCGUAAAGAAAGGUUCAGGGGAGUGGGUAUGAAAGUGCCCAAGUCACAGGGAUAAGACCAGAAACCGGUCGAUCUAGCCCUGGGCAGAGUGAAGUCUGGUGAAAACCAGAUGGAGGCUCGUUACCGUUGCUGGGAUUCAAACCGCUCGGGUGACCUGGGGCUAGGGGUGAAAACGGAUUGGCGACUUGAUUAAAGAGACAAUGUCGUCUUUCCCUUCGAAGCUAAACGAGACCGGUGAUAGCUGGUUCCUCCCGAAAGACCCUUUUACAGGAGGCUUAUGCUUCCUCAAAAGCGUCUACGGAAAAUCUGUAAAGGGGUUCCGGGAUAUGAGUCGCAGCUCAGCCUUGCUGGAGGCAGGUAAGGGGGUAGAGCUACUGAUUAGAUAACCAAGGGGAGAAAAUAAAGACCUUUUUGGUUUUUAAUCUCAAUCCCCAGUUAUCUUGUCAAACUCAGAAUCCCUUACCGCCGUAGAAGGCAGGAGUGAGGGUACGGGAUAAGCUCGAUAUCCGAAAGGUAGAGAAACCAGUUCAGGGUUAAGGUCCCAAAAAUCGAUGGACGUUCCUUUGGAAUGUCUUUCGAAUGGAAUGCAUGUUAAGUGAGGAAGGGUGUCUUCAACCCCAGACAGUGGGGAGGUUGGCUUAGAAGCAGCCAUCCUUUAA